AAAACAGUACUUGCCUCUGGUCCCAAAUUCCUGCUUCCCUUUCUUGUAGGAAUCAGUCUCCCUAGGAGAAGAAUAGGUGAAGGAUACUCUAGAAAUAUCUAUAUUUUCUUUCUCUGAGUCACAUCUAAAUAGACUCAUGGAGAUAUACAUAACUUACAUGGUGUAUUAGUGAGGGGGACUUUGAAAAGGAGGAACUCAAAGUUCAGCUAAUUGGGGGAAUUAAUAUAUGGUGACACUUCUUUCCUCCUUCCCCCAAAGUUGAGCUGUUACCAAUGGAGUCAGUCAGUCUAGACUAAAGGAUGCUGUGAAAAAAAGAAUCAACAAGCUUCUCCUUUGCAAGAUGCUGAUAGUUCUAGCUAUGCAGCCAAUCAAAAAAAGGAUCCUCUUGACCAUGGAGUUAGCCAACAUGAACCAAUUGUCCAAACAUGCUUAAGAGUCUUUCCAACACAAUUAUAAAAAACAACAUUAACAUGAUUCUCUCAAAGCCAAGCUCCCUCUCCAUAUGGAGAGGUUGCAACUGCUUGCACAAAGGUUCAUUACACAGGUAAUACAGAAUAUUUACGGUUGUUUCCAAA